AGUGAACGCUGGCGGUAGGCCUAACACAUGCAAGUCGAACGGCAGCACAGUAAGAGCUUGCUCUUACGGGUGGCGAGUGGCGGACGGGUGAGGAAUACAUCGGAAUCUACUUUUUCGUGGGGGAUAACGUAGGGAAACUUACGCUAAUACCGCAUACGACCUACGGGUGAAAGCAGGGGAUCUUCGGACCUUGCGCGAUUGAAUGAGCCGAUGUCGGAUUAGCUAGUUGGCGGGGUAAAGGCCCACCAAGGCGACGAUCCGUAGCUGGUCUGAGAGGAUGAUCAGCCACACUGGAACUGAGACACGGUCCAGACUCCUACGGGAGGCAGCAGUGGGGAAUAUUGGACAAUGGGCGCAAGCCUGAUCCAGCCAUACCGCGUGGGUGAAGAAGGCCUGGGUUGUAAAGCCCUUUUGUUGGGAAAGAAAAGCAGCAGGUUAAUACCCCACUGUUCUGACGGUACCCAAAGAAUAAGCACCGGCUAACUUCGUG
rnacentral:rRNA from 1 species